rnacentral:rRNA from 1 species
CCGUUGUUGUGUCGUCAUCUUCUUCUAGCGUGCAGUUUUGACAGUGUCUACCCGUAGCAGCUGUAUAGGUAGGCGGGAUAAAUGACGAGGAGCGAGGUUGAGAGAGCGGCGGCAGCAGGAGAGAGCGACUCAAGCUCUGCCCGCGUGGUCGACCAGAGCUCGGUGGGGCCUCGAGAUAUAUUUGUGCGCGGGCGCCGUGUGGUUGGGUGUGCAGCGGUCCCUCUUUAAUUGGCUCUUCUCUCUCCGUUUCGUGUGUGUGCGUCAUCGCAAGGACACUCCGCGCGAUUACCGCCGCGUCCUCCUCCUCUUCCGACGCCCGUCCGCGCGCCCCGGCGUGGGCGACGACGCGCCCGCCUCCGCCCUGCCGUUCAUGUGCGUGCCCGACGUGGGCCGCGUCUACCUCCGCGAGGCGCGGUACACGCCGCGGAAGUAGGGGAGCGACGGCCGGCUCCUCCGCCCGCGGCCGCCGGCGCGGCUGGGCGGGCCGCGGUUCCUGGAGCUCGCGAAGAUGGAGCGGAGGCGGCGGCUGAGGUUGUAGGGGCUGCUCCAACGCCUCGACUACCACUGCGCCACGUAUGCCCUCCGCCGCGACGACCGCACCCACCACGACACCCACGACUCGUGCUCCCACCCGUGCGACGACGACACGCCGGCCGACUCGGAGACGCCGCGGCGGCCGCUCGACGCGGCCAAGCGCCUGUACGGCCGCCUCGCCGUCCUCCGCCGCGACGUCGCUACCUUGUCCUGCGCGACCGAGAAGGGCGAGUCCUAGCAGAAGCGGGAGCAGUUCUAGGAGAGGGUGAUACAGAAGAUGUGGUACCAGCUGCUCUUGAGUCUCUUAGGUGUGACCUUUCGCUAACCUAUGUCGCACCUUCUCACCGUCUCUCUGGCUCUACUUCGCGGGCGGUGUAGCGCCGGCGACCUGUUACCGCAGCAGCUUUGGUCUCGCGACUUGCUGUGGUGGGACGAGUCCAGUGAGCGCCUGUCCACCGAGGGGCACUUCGGCCCGCGCGUCGUGUGCCACGUCACGCUACGGCAGUAGCAGCCCAGGCCGACGCCGCCCCCGCAACGUCGGCGCUACGAGCGUAGGCGCCCCAUGUUCCACCAGCAGCAACUCUUCCCGCUGAUGAAGCGGCGGCUGCUGAUGUCGAGGCAGCUCCCAGGCAGGUACCUCGCGGAGAAGCUCUUCCCGCCGUAGAAGACGUGCAGGUUGCAUUGCUGGUACCACAAGUGGCCGAGGUGACAGCCGCCGCCGAGGCGCCACUUGACCAGCCGGACGUAGGCGUGCGGCCCCCUCCAGAACGUCCUCACCAGGGCGCUGGUGCCCGAGGGCAACAAGCGCCCGGUCCUGAUGGUCGUCCGGUACUUGAGCCACACACUGGCCGAGCCGCAGUGGCUGCUCACGGACUUCCUUCCCAAGGUCUUGUUCCACGACGCGGCUCCCACGCUCCGCGAUCCCGACGGACAGCUGCGGCACGGUGCAUUGAGCAGCCGCCAUGUGAUGACGCCCUCGACGUUGAAGCCGACGGGGUGGCCGCUGUUCGCGCCGUGGCUGUGCUGCACCGAGCAGCUGCGGCAGAACGUGCCGCGCCACUAGGACUGGCCCACGUUCCGGCUCGCGAAGUAGGAGGUCUCGUUGUCGCCGUUCUUGCCGGCCUCGUUCUUUACGCAGCCGGACAACCGCUGCACGUACUCGUUGCCGUAGUGGUUCUUCGACGCGUAGCUCCGCUUCCACAGGUAGAGCCGAACGCCCCGUGAGUACUGCGGAGGCGACGACGCGUUGUCGCCCGACUUCUUGGCCGUGUAGCCGGCCUUGGACGUGGAGGUGGGCCACAGGUACCGCACCCCGAUGAAGGGCCUCUUGUUCGUCCGCCACGGGUAGUGGCCGUUCAGGAUGCUCCCGCCGUAGUAGUGCUCGUACGUGGCGCAGUGUGGCGCGUGGUAGUAGCUCUGCGGCCGCGAUCCCGGCCCCCGGAAGCGGCGGUACCACGGCACCCUCAGCCCGGCGCUGUACUUCCUCGCGUACUCGGCCAUGCGCGCGUGCCGCGUGCGCAAGCGGGAGCAGGCGCUGGCGCCGAGCCCCAAGCAUCUGACGCUCCCGGCGGAAGCGAAGUGGGGGUCGGCGCUGCUGCGGGCGCUCGAGGCGUUGCCGGACGCGGUGCACGACGCGUAGGACCACCGGCGGCCACGCCGCCUCCACCCGUGCGUGGCGUCGCUGCCCGAGGCCGACGCCACGUUCCCGCACGCGCUGCUCCUGGACCUCCGCAAGGACCUGCUCCACUGGUAGCUCUUCCCCGGGUACGUGAGCUGCCGCCUGUUUACCCGCCAGAAGAGGAGCCGGGUAGUCUACCCGUCGACGGCGUACCCGAGGUCGGGGUUCCUGUCGCGGCAGCUGCCGUCGCCGCUCUCGACCCUCCGGCUCCCGGACAUGCAGACGCUGCCGUCGGAGGAGGGGUGGCGCCAGCCGCAGUUGGGUUACUAGUGGUAAGUCAGGCAGCGGAUGACGGAGAGGUUCCCGUAGCGGCUCAGGUACUGGUUGCCGGUCUUCGUGAUGAUCUCAUGAUAUACAUGAUCAGCUAGCUCAGUCCCCAGCGGUUGAGCACCGCAGUCAACGAGUCCACGUGAACAGACCGUAUUUCCGUGACAUAUAUAUCCUAAGCAAUAAUUCUUUUACAAUUUAUGAGCCAAUACAAACAAUGAAGAACCCAGGUAUUUAUAUCGAGCUAAUAUAAAAAAAAAUUUCUGGUCAACAGGUAAAACGGUAAAGUAAACCUAAAGGUAUCGAAUCUAGUGACCGAAAGAAAAGAAUGUGCAGAGUCAGUUGAAAGAGUCGGGAUACUCAACAGAAAAAAAUCACAUUUAGUUCUCCGUAGAUGCGCAAGGUAUAAAGGGCGCAUUCUCGUAGAUGUAACGUCACAUUUAGUUCCCCGUAGAUGCGCCAGGGAUC